AUGCCUAAUACAUGCAAGUCGAACGAUCCCUUCGGGGAUAGUGGCGCACGGGUGCGUAACGCGUGGGAAUCUGCCCUGGGUUCGGAAUAACUUCUGGAAACGGAAGCUAAUACCGGAUGAUGACGUAAGUCCAAAGAUUUAUCGCCCAAGGAUGAGCCCGCGUAGGAUUAGCUAGUUGGUGACGGUAAAGGCUCACCAAGGCGACGAUCCUUAGCUGGUCUGAGAGGAUGAUCAGCCACACUGGGACUGAGACACGGCCCAGACUCCUACGGGAGGCAGCAGUAGGGAAUAUUGGACAAUGGGGGAAACCCUGAUCCAGCAAUGCCGCGUGAGUGAUGAAGGCCUUAGGGUUGUAAAGCUCUUUUACCCGGGAUGAUAAUGACAGUACCGGGAGAAUAAGCUCCGGCUAACUCCGUGCCAGCAGCCGCGGUAAUACGGAGGGAGCUAGCGUUGUUCGGAAUUACUGGGCGUAAAGCGCACGUAGGCGGCUAUUCAAGUCAGAGGUGAAAGCCCGGGGCUCAACCCCGGAACUGCCUUUGAAACUAGAUAGCUUGAAUCCAGGAGAGGUGAGUGGAAUUCCGAGUGUAGAGGUGAAAUUCGUAGAUAUUCGGAAGAACACCAGUGGCGAAGGCGGCUCACUGGACUGGUAUUGACGCUGAGGUG
rnacentral:rRNA from 1 species